AUUGAACGCUGGCGGCAGGCUUAACACAUGCAAGUCGAGCGAGCGGCGGACGGGUGAGUAAUGUAUGGGGAACUGCCUGAUGGAGGGGGAUAACUACUGGAAACGGUAGCUAAUACCGCAUACCAUCAGCUGAACCCAGAUGGGAUUAGCUAGUAGGUGGGGUAACGGCUCACCUAGGCGACGAUCCCUAGCUGGUCUGAGAGGAUGAACAGCCACCCUGGGACUGAGACACGGCCCAGACUCCUACGGGAGGCAGCAGUGGGGAAUAUUGCACAAUGGGCGCAAGCCUGAUGCAGCCAUGCCGCGUGUAUGAAGAAGGCCUUCGGGUUGUAAAGUACUUUCAGUCGGGAGGCGUUACCGACAGAAGAAGCACCGGCUAACUCCGUGCCAGCCGCCGCGGUAAUAC
rnacentral:rRNA from 1 species